rnacentral:rRNA from 1 species
CCUACGGGGUGCAGCAGUGGGGAAUAUUGGACAAUGGGCGAAAGCCUGAUCCAGCCAUGCCGCGUGUGUGAAGAAGGCCUUCGGGUUGUAAAGCACUUUCAGUGGGGAAGAAAGCCUUGGGGCUAAUACCCUCGAGGAAGGACAUCACCCACAGAAGAAGCACUGGCUAACUCCGUGCCAGCAGCCGCGGUAAUACGGAGGGUGCGAGCGUUAAUCGGAAUUACUGGGCGUAAAGCGCGCGUAGGCGGUCUGAUAAGCCGGUUGUGAAAGCCCCGGGCUCAACCUGGGAACGGCAUCCGGAACUGUCAGGCUAGAGUGCAGGAGAGGAAGGUAGAAUUCCCGGUGUAGCGGUGAAAUGCGUAGAGAUCGGGAGGAAUACCAGUGGCGAAGGCGGCCUUCUGGACUGACACUGACGCUGAGGUGCGAAAGCGUGGGUAGCAAACAGGAUUAGAUACCCGAGUAGUC